UACGGAGGAUGCAAGCGUUAUCCGGAAUGAUUGGGCGUAAAGCGUCCGCAGGUGGCAAUGUAAGUCUGCUGUUAAAGAGUCUAGCUCAACUAGAUAAAAGCAGUGGAAACUACAUAGCUAGAGUACGUUCGGGGCAGAGGGAAUUCCCUGGUGUAGCGGUGAAAUGCGUAGAGAUCAGGAAGAACACCAGUGGCGAAGGCGCUCUGCUAGGCCGUAACUGACACUGAGGGACGAAAGCUAGGGGAGCGAAUGGG
rnacentral:rRNA from 1 species